rnacentral:rRNA from 2 species
UCCCUCUACUCUUUACGGGAGGCAGCAGUAGGGAAUCUUCCGCAAUGGACGAAAGUCUGACGGAGCAACGCCGCGUGAGUGAUGAAGGUUUUCGGAUCGUAAAGCUCUGUUGUUAGGGAAGAACAAGUGCGAGAGUAACUGCUCGCACCUUGACGGUACCUAACCAGAAAGCCACGGCUAACUACGUGCCAGCAGCCGCGGUAAUACGUAGGUGGCAAGCGUUGUCCGGAAUUAUUGGGCGUAAAGGGCUCGCAGGCGGUUUUUUAAGUCUGAUGUGAAAGCCCCCGGCUCAACCGGGGAGGGUCAUUGGAAACUGGGAAACUUGAGUGCAGAAGAGGAGAGUGGAAUUCCACGUGUAGCGGUGAAAUGCGUAGAGAUGUGGAGGAACCACCAGUGGCGAAGGCGACUCUCUGGUCUGUAACUGACGCUGAGGAGCGAAAGCGUGGGGAGCGAACAGGAUUAGAUACCCUGGUAGUCCACGCCGUAAACGAUGAGUGCUAAGUGUUAGGGGGUUUCCGCCCCUUAGUGCUGCAGCUAACGCAUUAAGCACUCCGCCUGGGGAGUACGGUCGCAAGACUGAAACUCAAAGGAAUUGACGGGGGCCCGCACAAGCGGUGGAGCAUGUGGUUUAAUUCGAAGCAACGCGAAGAACCUUACCAGGUCUUGACAUCCUCUGACAACCCUAGAGAUAGGCUUCCCUU